GCUUAACACAUGCAAGUCGAGGGGCAUCAGGAAGAAAGCUUGCUUUCUUUGCUGGCGACCGGCGCACGGGUGAGUAACACGUAUCCAACCUGCCCUUUACUCGGGGAUAGCCUUUCGAAAGAAAGAUUAAUACCCGAUGGCAUAAUGAUUCCGCAUGGUUUCAUUAUUAAAGGAUUCCGGUAAAGGAUGGGGAUGCGUUCCAUUAGGUUGUUGGUGAGGUAACGGCUCACCAAGCCUUCGAUGGAUAGGGGUUCUGAGAGGAAGGUCCCCCACAUUGGAACUGAGACACGGUCCAAACUCCUACGGGAGGCAGCAGUGAGGAAUAUUGGUCAAUGGGCGCUAGCCUGAACCAGCCAAGUAGCGUGAAGGAUGAAGGCUCUAUGGGUCGUAAACUUCUUUUAUAUAAGAAUAAAGUGCAGUAUGUAUACUGUUUUGUAUGUAUUAUAUGAAUAAGGAUCGGCUAACUCCGUGCCAGCAGCCGCGGUAAUACGGAGGAUCCGAGCGUUAUCCGGAUUUAUUGGGUUUAAAGGGAGCGUAGGUGGACUGGUAAGUCAGUUGUGAAAGUUUGCGGCUCAACCGUAAAAUUGCAGUUGAUACUGUCAGUCUUGAGUACAGUAGAGGUGGGCGGAAUUCGUGGUGUAGCGGUGAAAUGCUUAGAUAUCACGAAGAACUCCGAUUGCGAAGGCAGCUCACUGGACUGCAACUGACACUGAUGCUCGAAAGUGUGGGUAUCAAACAGGAUUAGAUACCCUGGUAGUCCACACAGUAAACGAUGAAUACUCGCUGUUUGCGAUAUACAGUAAGCGGCCAAGCGAAAGCAUUAAGUAUUCCACCUGGGGAGUACGCCGGCAACGGUGAAACUCAAAGGAAUUGACGGGGGCCCGCACAAGCGGAGGAACAUGUGGUUUAAUUCGAUGAUACGCGAGGAACCUUACCCGGGCUUAAAUUGCAGUGGAAUGAUGUGGAAACAUGUCAGUGAGCAAUCACCGCUGUGAAGGUGCUGCAUGGUUGUCGUCAGCUCGUGCCGUGAGGUGUCGGCUUAAGUGCCAUAACGAGCGCAACCCUUAUCUUUAGUUACUAACAGGUUAUGCUGAGGACUCUAGAGAGACUGCCGUCGUAAGAUGUGAGGAAGGUGGGGAUGACGUCAAAUCAGCACGGCCCUUACGUCCGGGGCUACACACGUGUUACAAUGGGGGGUACAGAAGGCAGCUAGCGGGUGACCGUAUGCUAAUCCCAAAAGCCUCUCUCAGUUCGGAUCGAAGUCUGCAACCCGACUUCGUGAAGCUGGAUUCGCUAGUAAUCGCGCAUCAGCCACGGCGCGGUGAAUACGUUCCCGGGCCUUGUACACACCGCCCGUCAAGCCAUGGGAGCCGGGGGUACCUGAAGUACGUAACCGCAAGGAUCGUCCUAGGGUAAAACUGGUGACUGGGGCUAAAUCA
rnacentral:rRNA from 1 species